GUGCGUGUUUCCGUGUAUUAUAAUAUGUGAAAUUCCUGGUACUCGAGGCUCUCUCUCUUGGGGAUCUUCGCUUUUGGCAAGAUCUCUCUCUCUCUCUCAGAUCUCUCCCCAAUUUCAGUUUGCUUAGAAUCCCAGUGAGUGAGAGAGCGAUUCAGAUCCAAAACUGGUGGUGUGUGAUGGGUUUCGGGUUCAAUUGUGGAGUUGUUGCAUUCUUGGUGCUGCUACUCCUCUUCACCGUUUCUGCUCAGGAGUCUGAGGUCGAAAACCAGAGGCGAGAGUCCGGCGGAUCCUUAGAUCUGGGCCGACGUAGCAAGAUUAAUUUGAAUCUUCUUGAAGCUCUUGGAGAGAAUGGCGCCGAUGCAGUUGCUAUUGGUCUCAAUGUGGACUCCGGUCUUGGGAUUUUCGAUGCCUUUGUUGCUAGCUUUUCAAUGAUCCUCGUCAGUGAGAUUGGAGAUGAAACAUUCAUAAUAGCAGCUCUCAUGGCAAUGCGCCAUCCCAAGUCAAUUGUCCUAUCCGGUGCACUCUCUGCCCUGGUUGUAAUGACUGUACUUUCUACUGGACUUGGUAGGAUUGUGCCAAAUUUGAUAUCAAGGAAGCAUACAAAUAGUGCAGCUACAGUCCUUUAUCUGUUUUUCGGGCUGCGGUUACUUUACAUUGCUUGGAGAUCUGAUCCAAAAGGUUCACAGAAGAAAGAAAUAGAAGAAGUAGAAGAGAAACUUGAGUCUGGACAGGGGAAGACAACAUUCCGCCGUUUCUUUUCUAGAUUUUUGACACCAAUCUUUUUGGAGUCAUUCGUUCUAACAUUUUUAGCUGAGUGGGGAGAUCGUAGCCAAAUAGCAACAAUCGCUCUGGCAACCCACAAAAACGCAGUAGGAGUUGCGGUAGGUGCAACAUUAGGACAUACCAUCUGCACAUCUGUGGCUGUGGUGGGAGGGAGCAUGUUGGCAUCCAAAAUCUCCCAAAGGACAGUCGCCACCGUCGGAGGCUUGCUCUUCCUAUGCUUCUCUUUGUCCUCCUAUUUCUAUCCCCCUCUAUAAAAGUCUGAACCCAUAAGAUUCCAGCACUCUGGUUACCAAUCAUUACCUGAUGUUCAUCAUGCCAAAUCUGUCAAGGAUGGUUCGUUGCACCAUUUGAAUGUGGGGAGCUACGUUGUUAGUCUGUACAUGAAAUCUAAAAACUUGGACUAUGCAUGCAAGCUGUUCGAUGAAAUGCCUGAGAGGGAUGUCCAGUCGUGGACUAUAUUAAUCUCCGGGUUUGCUCGGACUAGAGCUUGUAGAUUUGUGCUCGAGCUUUUCAAAGAGAUGCAAGUUGAGCGUGUUUGUCCGAACCAAUUUACGUUGUCGAGUGUUUUGAAGAGUUGUUCGAGUUUAUGUGAUUUUCGGAUGGGGAAGGGAGUUCAUGGAUGGAUAUUGAGAAAUGGGAUUGAGGUGGAUGUGGUGUUAGAGAAUUCAUUGCUUGAUGUUUACGUCAAAUGUGGAGCGUUGGAUUAUGCGGAAAGGUUGUUUGAGACUAUCAAAGAGAGGGAUACAGUUACUUGGAAUAUAAUGAUGGGUGCAUAUAUGCAUAUUGGGGACAUGGAGAAGGCUCUUGAAAUGUUCAGAAGGGUACCCUGCAAGGAUGUUGCUAGUUGGAAUACAAUUGUGUAUGGGUUGAUGCAGAAUGGGGAUGAAAGAUGUGCAUUGGAGCUGCUUUAUGAGAUGGUGGAAAACGGAGUUUCGUUUCAGGAUGUCACUUUCUCUGUAGCUCUCGGUUUGGCUUCAUCUUUACAUGUUGUGGAAAUUGGGAGACAAAUUCAUGGCUGUCUUGUGAGGCUUGGCAUUGAAAAUGAUGGAUUUCUUCGAUCUUCAUUGAUUGAUAUGUAUUGCAAAUGUGGGAGAAUGGACAAGGCAUCACUGAUAUUCAAAAGAACGCCUCUCAGAGCAAAGUAUAAGUUUACGAGUGAUGAGGUGAAGACUGAAAUCAUAUCAUGGAGUUCAAUGGUUUCUGGGUAUGUUCGUAAUGGUGAGCAUGAAUAUGCUUUGAUAACUUUCCGUUCUAUGCUCCGUGAACAGUUUAUGGUGGAUCGAUUCUCUGUAACCAGCGUUGUUUCUGCAUGUGCUAACCUUGGGAGUUUGCUUCUGGGUCAAAGUAUCCAUGCACUUGGUCAGAAAGUUGGGUACAUAUUAGAUGUUCACUUGAGUUCCUGCUAUAUUGAUAUGUAUGCUAAAUGUGGGAGUCUAACUGAUGCCUGGAUGAUUUUUACACCAACUCAUGAUCCAAAUGUUGUUUUGUGGACGUCAAUGAUUUCUGCUUGCGCUUUACAUGGGCAAGGGAAAGAGGCUGCACAACUCUUCGAACUCAUGAUAAGAGAGGGAAUGAAACCGAAUGAGGUUACUUUCGUGGGGCUUUUAAAUGCGUGCAGCCAUGCUGGGCUCAUUGAAGAAGGCAGCAAAUAUUUCAGCUUGAUGAAAGAAGUAUACGGCAUUAAGCCGGGAACUGAACACUUCACAUGUAUGGUUGAUCUUUAUGGUCGUGCAGGUCGCUUGAAUGAGACUAAGCAGUUCAUUCAUGAAAAUGGCAUUUCUCACUUGAGUUCAGUUUGGAAGUCAUUUCUAUCUGCUUCCCGGCUUCAUAAAAAUGUAGAGCUGGGAAAGUGGGUUUCUGAAAAGCUCCUCCAACUCGAACCUUCUGAUGAGGGGCCUUAUGUUUUGAUGUCAAACAUGUGUGCUGCAGAUCACAGAUGGGAAGAAGCAGCUGAAAUGAGGAGGUUGAUGCAACAGAGAGGAAUUAACAAAGUUGCCGGCCAAUCUUGGAUCCAACUGAAGAAUCAAGUACACUCCUUUGUCAUGGGAGACCGGAGUCAUCCACAUUCCACUGAGAUAUAUUCGUACUUGGACGAACUGAUUGCAAGACUGAAGGAAAUCGGGUAUUCACUGGACACAAAGCUAGUGAUGCAGGACGUAGAACAAGAACAAGGAGAAGCACUUCUUGCGCAUCACAGUGAAAAGCUUGCAAUUGCCUAUGGCAUCAUUAGCACGGCUUCUGGGAUACCUAUUCGGAUAAUGAAGAACCUUAGAGUGUGUAGUGAUUGUCACAACUUCAUUAAAUUUACUUCUCAGCUUUUAAAUAGGGAAAUAAUUGUCAGAGACCUUCAUCGCUUCCAUCAUUUUAAGCAUGGGAGCUGCUCCUGUGGAGAUUAUUGGUAA